AGUGAACGCUGGCGGUGGGCCUAACACAUGCAAGUCGAACGGCAGCACAGUAAGAGCUUGCUCUUACGGGUGGCGAGUGGCGGACGGGUGAGGAAUACAUCGGAAUCUACUUUUUCGUGGGGGAUAACGUAGGGAAACUUACGCUAAUACCGCAUACGACCUACGGGUGAAAGCAGGGGAUCUUCGGACCUUGCGCGAUUGAAUGAGCCGAUGUCGGAUUAGCUAGUUGGCGGGGUAAAGGCCCACCAAGGCGACGAUCCGUAGCUGGUCUGAGAGGAUGAUCAGCCACACUGGAACUGAGACACGGUCCAGACUCCUGCGGGAGGCAGCAGUGGGGAAUAUUGGACAAUGGGCGCAAGCCUGAUCCAGCCAUACCGCGUGGGUGAAGAAGGCCUUCGGGUUGUAAAGCCCUUUUGUUGGGAAAGAAAAGCAGCAGGUUAAUACCCCGCUGUUCUGACGGUACCCAAAGAAUAAGCACCGGCUAACUUCGUG
rnacentral:rRNA from 1 species